rnacentral:rRNA from 1 species
UUUCCGUAGCAAUACGGAGAUGGCGCACGGCGCACGGGUGCGUAACACGUGGGUAAUCUGCCCUCUGAUGGGGAAUAACUCGCCGAAAGGCGAGCUAAUUCCGCAUAACAUUCCAUGGACUCCGGUUCGAGGAUUCAAAGGCGUAAGUCGUCGGAGGUGGAGCCCGCGCACGAUUAGCUAGUUGGUAGGGUAAUGGCCUACCAAGGCUAUGAUCGUUAGCUGGUCUGAGAGGAUGGCCAGCCACACUGGAACUGAGACACGGUCCAGACUCCUACGGGAGGCAGCAGUGGGGAAUCUUGCACAAUGGGCGAAAGCCUGAUGCAGCGACGCCGCGUGGGGGAUGAAGCUUCUCGGAGUGUAAACCCCUUUCGACCGGGACGAAUACCUCGCAAGAGGGGUGACGGUACCGGUAUAAGAAGCCCCGGCUAACUACGUGCCAGCAGCCGCGGUAAGACGUAGGGGGCCAGCGUUGCUCGGAAUUACUGGGUGUAAAGGGUUCGUAGGCGGUGUGGCAAGUCGGGAGUGAAAUCUCUGGGCUCAACUCAGGGGCUGCUUCCGGAACUGCCGUGCUAGAGUGUGGGAGAGGCGCGUGGAAUUGCAGGUGUAGCGGUGAAAUGCGUAGAUAUCUGCAGGAACACCCGUGGCGAAAGCGGCGCGCUGGACCACUACUGACGCUGAGGAACGAAAGCUAGGGGAGCAAACAGGAUUAGAUACCCUGGUAGUCCUAGCCCUAAACGAUCAGGACUUGGGGUGCCACCCGUUCGGGUGUCGUCCCGGAGCUAACGCGUUAAGUCCUGCACCUGGGGAGUACGGUCGCAAGACUGAAACUC